CAGAAAUAGAGAUUUCAUAGCUUUCAUCCUGAAAUUUCAGCCAUGAAUCAGGCAUAAAUAUUCUGAUGGUUAAUUUUAGACAUCCACUUGAUCGGAUUAAGAGACACACAUAGCUGGUCAAACACGAUUUCAGCCAUGAAUCAGGCAUAAAUAUUCUGAUGGUUAAUUUUAGACAUCUACUUGACUGGAUUGAGAGACACACACAGCUGGUCAAACACGAUUUCAGCCAUGAAUCAGGCAUAAAUAUUCUGAUGGUUAAUUUUAGACAUCUACUUGAUCGGAUUAAGGACACACACAGCUGGUCAAACACGAUUUCAGCCAUGAAUCAGGCAUAAAUAUUCUGAUGGUUAAUUUUAGACAUCUACUUGACUGGAUUAAGAGACACACAUAGCUGGUCAAACACAAUUUCUGGGCAUAUCUGUGAGGGUGUUUCUGGAAGACACUGAGAUAAGCAUGAUCCAGUGUGGAUGGGCACUGAUAGGGUUUGGCUGUGUCCCCACCCAGAUCUCAUCUUGAAUUGUAGUUCCUAUAAUCCCUACAUGUCGUGGGAGGGACCCAGUGGGAGGUGACUGAAUCAUGGUGGUGGUUACUGCCAUGCUGUUCCCAUGACAGUGAGUGAGUUCUCACGAUCUCAUGGUUUUAUAAGGGGCUUUUCCCCUUUGGCUCAGCACUUCUCCUUGUUGCUGCCUUGUGAAGAAGGACAGCUUUGCUUCCCCUUCUGCCAUGAUUGUGAGGGCCCUGCAGCCAUGUGGAACUGUCAGCCCAUUCAACCUCUUUGUUCUUUAUAAAUUGCUCAGACUCAGGUAUUUCUUCAUAGCUGUAUAAAAAUGGAUGAAUACAGGCACCAUCCAAUUGGUUGAGAGCCCAGAUAAAACAACAAGGAAGAGGAAAGGUGAAUUAUCUCCUUCUGAAAUGGAAACAUCCUUCUUCUCCUGCCCUUGACAUCAGAACUUCAGGGUCUCAGACCUUUGGCCUCAGAAUCAGAGUUACACUAUUGGCUUCCCUGAUUCUGAGUCCUUUGUAUCUGGAGUGAGCCACGCUACCAGCUUUCCUGGUUCUCCAACUUGGAGACAGGCUAUUGUGGAACUUCUCAGCCUCCAUAAUUAUGUGAACCAAUUCCCCUAAUGAAUCUUCUCUCAUCUAUCUACAUAUAUCCUAUUGAUUCUGCCUUCUGGAGAACCCUGACUAAUGUGAUUGCAAUACUACAAAAUUCACUAGUUUAUAUAGAAGACUUGGUUUUUGUCUUUGCC
rnacentral:lncRNA from 1 species